CUCGGGCCCGCACCGUCGCCGCCCCAGUGGCCGUCGCCGCCAGCUCCCAGCUCCGCCAUGGUGCUCCGAUGACGCGCCCGGAGAGCCGCCCCGCCCUCUGGCGCGCUCGGGCUCCCGCCGCCCAGACAGUGGCUGAAGGUCGCGCACGACUCGAGGGGCUGCUGGUGGGAGGUCGGCGACGCUCGGUGGCGGCGGGGGACGGCCUGACGAUCGGCUCCCGGGGAGGCGAAAGGCGGCAAAGCGUUUCUGCCGCCCGCUGAACUCUGUCUGCGGCCGCGCUGGUGGGGGCUGGAGUUCACGGUGACAGUUGCGGAAGAGUCGGAUGCCACGUGGAAAAGCGAAGUACACGGAUCGAUUCCACGCUGGGAUCCGGGCUCGCUCUGCUUUUUAGGACAGAUGCCGCAGCCGGUGACCUAUCUUUUCUCGAGCCUUUGUAUCUGAUGAUCCCCUGCGUACGCCACUUUGCGGAAGCCGUGUCUAAAAGUCGUGGAGUUAUUUUGCUUGCUUGCUUUUUAUUUCAUUUAUUUCAUUUGGGUUUUUCUUCUUGCUUUCCGAUUAGUAACUGUCUUGUGACUUAUGACUUGUUCAGGAAAACCAGGAAAACAGCAGGAGCCAACCACAGUUUAAGAAACAAAAGGUCUUCAAACCGUCAACGGAAGGGGAAAAAAACAUUUUUUUUUUUUUUGCUCUAAGAGGGAAAUAGAUAAAGCAACAAAAUGCCAAGAAAAUAAAAAGUAUUCUCCAUAAAUGGAAACAUAAAGAACAAGAGAGAGCUGUGAGCUGCUCUACCUGGUUUCACAGAAAUGCACCUCCACAGCAGGCUGCUCCCAACCGUUCAAAAACUUAGAAUUUCAUGGAAUUGUUGAGUGCCCAAGAGGGUCUGUGAAUAGUGUUGGAAAUCUUGCCAGAAUGGCAAUUCGCAUAUUUACCUGAAACAAAACAACAACAAAAGAACAGGCCACUUGACCCUGGGUGUAUACUGUUUUUAUUCUAUUGGUUCUUACGUUCUUACAACUUAGAGGUCUUGUCUGAGGGACACUUCUGCUAUGAUUUAUAGCCAGAUUUUUUUUUUCAUUGCUCUUUUGACAUUGAUUAGGCACACUGGUUGUUUAGCAAUUACAGGCUUCCUGAAUCACAAUCAAAGCAUUCUUAUUAGACUCCUAAUCAAUAAAUAUAAAGCACGCA